rnacentral:rRNA from 1 species
GACAGAGGGUGCAAACGUUGUUCGGAAUUACUGGGCGUAAAGCGUGUGUAGGCGGCUACGAAAGUCGGAUGUGAAAGCCCCGGGCUCAACCCGGGAAGUGCACUCGAUACUGCGUAGCUUGAGUAUCGGAGAGGUUGGUGGAAUUCUCGGUGUAGAGGUGAAAUUCGUAGAUAUCGAGAGGAACACCUGCGGCGAAGGCGGCCAACUGGACGAAUACUGACGCUGAGACACGAAAGCGUGGGGAGCAAACAGG